rnacentral:rRNA from 1 species
AUACGGAGGAUCCGAGCGUUAUCCGGAUUUAUUGGGUUUAAAGGGAGCGUAGGUGGACAGUUAAGUCAGUUGUGAAAGUUUGCGGCUCAACCGUAAAGUUGCAGUUGAUACUGGCUGUCUUGAGUACAGUAGAGGUGGGCGGAAUUCGUGGUGUAGCGGGGAAAUGCUUAGAUAUCACGAAGAACUCCGAUUGCGAAGGCAGCUCACUGGACUGCAACUGACACUGAUGCUCGAAAGUGUGGGUAUCAAACAGGAUUAGAUACCCUGGUAGUCCACACAGUAAACGAUGAAUACUCGCUGUUUGCGAUAUACAGUAAGCGGCCAAGCGAAAGCAUUAAGUACUCCACCUGGGGAGUACGCCGGCAACGGUGAAACUCAAAUGAAUUGACGGGG